rnacentral:misc_RNA from 1 species
UACGUAGGAAGCGAGCGUUGUCCGGAUUUACUGGGCGUAAAGGGCGCGUAGGCGGCCCGCUAAGUCUCAUGUGAAAUCUCCUGGCUCAACUGGGAGGGGUCAUGGGAAACUGGUGGGCUUGAGGGCAGUAGAGGAAAGUGGAAUUCCCAGAGUAGUGGUGAAAUGCUUAGAGACUGGGAGGAACACCAGUGGCGAAGGCGACUUUCUGGGCUGUCCCUGACGCUGAGGCGCGAAAGCGUGGGGAGCAAACCGG